CCUGGUCUUCAGGGAAAAGGUGCUCAAGAGCCCAGCAGUUCUCUGUGGUCCUCACCUGUGAGGUUGUAGCGCCAGCAGCAGACUGAUGGAGAGGUCCGCCUCCUGCACCCCAUCCAUCAGCCCAUCCCACCCCGUCCCCGGUUUCUCUGUUACAUCACUCUUCUCUCUUCUCCUUCAUGCUUAUUAUCUUUGCGGAUGCUGUGGGCUCCAAAUACUGUCUUCAUUUAAACAUUCGAAAACAAAUAUGUAAAAAUCCAUUGUAAUCCGUAGAAAUAGGCAUUUAUAUAAAUCCUAAUAGAAAAGAGCAGUUCUAACUUGUAUCUGUCGUUUUGAGCUAGCAUGUUGACUGAAGCAGAGCAAGGGCUGCACAAAUCAAAGGUGGACGGGUUACUCAGAAACUGGAUUCACCCGCUGGUGGGUGUCCAGCCAGUAGACACCGCCAAGCCAAAGGUGGGGAGGAGGAAAGGUUAUUGUCACAUGCAGCAGGUAAGAAAGAACACAGGGAUCUUUCCCAAAGCAGUGUCUCCCCAAACAGCAAAAUUGGGGGGGUUUUAAGCUACAGGUACAUGCACAUCCGUGCGGGGGUUUGAAUGGAGGAAAAUUCAGCAUAGAACUGGGGCCAAGGUGCACAGAGGCCAAGCUUCAGGUGGUUAAAGUCAGAGGGUCAGCAUCAUUCUGUCCUUCACCUGGGUGGGGGCCUGCGCUCCUGCAGAGCUGAGGUGUAUUGUUAUGUAUUUCCUCCCAAGUGGAACUGGGACUUUGCUUUAUGGCUCUAGGUUUGCUUGACUGCCUUUGCUCUGCUCUACAUUCCUUAUUCCCUAAGAUCAUUGAUUACUGAGAGCUGGUCAAAGACGGGUAUUGUGGACAAACAGAUCGCAGAAUGGCUUAGGCCAGAAUGGCUUCUCUUAGGUCAAGAAAGCCCCUCCAGUUCUCUUUUCUCCGGGACUCCCUUACCUGUCUACUUACAGACAUCCUGAUUCUGGAGAACUUUAACCUAGUCAUCAGAAUUCGGAGACUGCUUCUGCCCUGAUGCUGCAUUCUAAUAACCAGAAAACAUAUUGAGUUAGAGUUGUUGGCCUGCUUCCCACGUGGGAAAGAGUGUAGACGACCAAAUAGAUGGCUGAGUGUCUCCAACACAGGAGAAAGAAAUGUCUCCUCACCUUUUGCAGAAGCAAAAGUAUGGUACGCUCAGAACUUACAGCAGUCGUUUGACUUAGGAACUGCGACAAAAGUUAAAAAGCUGUCAUGGGAACGAAGUCAUAAUUUUAAUACAAACCCAGCCUAGAUUGUGUAUGAAUAUCCUUCUACUUGAACUAAAAGUGUAUUGGACAAAGAUUGUCUCCAUUGCUCUCGCUAUCACAAAUCACCCAGAUAUUUAGUGGCCUAACCCAUUUCUUGUGUUAUGCUCACAAAUAAUGGACUAGGACCUUGGAUGGGAUGCAGCAGGAAUGGUGAGGAUGCCUGUUGUCCUUUAAGAUGCCGGGGGACUUGGGUGGAAAGGUUGAAGCCUGAGGGUCCCUAGCAGCUUGGGGGCUAGACUCCUCUGAGGCGACGUUCCUUCACUCACAUGUGUGGCACCUGGGCUGCAAAGAUGAAAUGGUGCCAAUAGCUGGAGACACCUACACAUGGCUUUCCACGUGGCUUGGGCUUCUCACAACAAGGUAAUUGGCUAUGACAGCCGAGGGCGAUGAUUCCAAGAAAGCCCCACAAAGGCUGAGUGGCCUUUUCUGAGCUGUCAUUGAGAGUCGAAGGGAAUCCCUUUUGCUGCAUUCUUUUGGUCACGCACAGGUCAGCUCGGACUCAAGAAGGGACACAGGUUUCACCUCAAAGCAUCAUUAAGAGUCAUCUGUUUUCCACAGUCCAUUAGCAGACACAUUAAGUCAAUAAAAUCCCCUUUAACCAUCUUCAAUCAAAUGUAAACAUUUAAAUACCUUCUAUGAGAAAACACAAAUACAUUUUUUAUUAAAAACGCCCAUAGCUGGUGUUCCUCAACUGAAGUUGAAAGGAGCAUUGAAGCCUAGUAAAAAAGUGUUCAUUUUCUUUUUGUAUUAUUCUUCUGGGAACUUUUUCAAGAGUGACCUUGCUUCAUUCCUGCUCUUAAGCAGCUCUCUAAACUUUGAUCCAGUACUUUCUAUUAACUCAAAAUCUGUGGAGCCAUCUCAACAGUAAGAUGAUCUCUGAGCUGGCUUGUGAACAGCCCCAAUUUCUUGAGCAUUAGUAACCUCUCUACUCAGGGCCUCCAUUAAUAGUCUUUCUGCCACAGACAUGCCUUUCCCCUUACAGACCUGAAAAGUUCCAAUAAUGUUUUCAGGAGCUAAAUGUCAGGCGAGAAGAAAUCUAUCAUCAAGCGAUUGCUGCCUUGAAAUCACCCAGUAGGAUACGAGGUUUCUAAGAAAUCGUCCAAAAUUAAUUGCACAUUUUUAUUCCUCUUUACAAAGAGAGGUAGUGAUACCUACAGUAGGUUAAUACUUCCACUUGAGAGCUAAAGAAAAAUCUUUUUGAAUGUGGCAAAGCACUGCAAUUAAUUUUGUCUGUUAAGAUAUAAAUUAAAUGUACAACAAUGAGUUAGGCUUUGAAAGCAAAAAGCUAGUCAUUCUUAAACCACAGUCGGGAGCCCAUGAAACACCAGAUGAAGUGAAAUAUCUUUAUUACCUGAAUUAAAGUUCAUCUAUCUUUGAAAUCUUACCAACACUUCAAAGACCGAUUUCAGACUUUAUAACACCUUCCACAUUAACUCCAACUGGUCAUGAUUUGUGCCUUUUACCUUCAUUCCCCAAUAACUGUAGGGCACUUUUCACACAAUAACAUUGUGGGCAUAUGUUGCAUUUCCUCUUCAACAAUUAAACUUACUGUAUACAGCUUUUUCCAAUUUGUAAGGCAUAAAAUGUAGCUGAGUAAAAAUAAAAAGUAUUUUUAAUGCAUUUGAAAGGAACAGGUGUUGUAUUGGAUUACCGUCUUUAAAAAGAGGUCACAAGCUCAAAAUGGAGUAAUUUGCCUCCCACAACAGCAAACUAAGACUGCCUUGUAAUUUCAGCCUCUCAGAUAUCAAUCUGAAAUUUCCUGAUCCCCAAGAGUGAGGUAAUCCGCAUGAUAAGUGCCCUGUCCUUUCCUUCCCCCAAAUGAUAGACCUCACCUGAAAUAAUCCUUUCUUUUCUUUUGCUAAUAGCUUCUUUGUUACCCCUCUUUUGGGGGUGAGCACAUGACCAAGUGUGGCCACAGAACAUCACAAACUGGCCUAAGCAACGAGUUCAUUUACAGGCAUCUGUCUUAAGAGUUAGUUCUCUUCCUGGGGCUCUGACUAAAAGUGCAGAGAAAUACACCCUCAUUUCACCUGGUCUUGAACUUGAGAAAGCAGUGUUAUUACUGUUAUGCUUUCUUAGGAAAAAUAACUUUAAAGUUAAUUGGAGAAUCACUUUCAUUAACAUAGAGAUGAUUUCCCAUCAUUAAUGGACCGUGUUUCUUGAAGACACUUCACUCCAAU
rnacentral:lncRNA from 1 species